GACGAACGCUGGCGGCGUGCUUAACACAUGCAAGUCGAACGGAAAGGCCCUGCUUUUGUGGGGUGCUCGAGUGGCGAACGGGUGAGUAACACGUGAGUAGUCUGCCCUUGACUUUGGGAUAACUUCAGGAAACUGGGGCUAAUACCGGAUAGGAGCUCCUGCUGCAUGGUGGGGGUUGGAAAGUUUCGGCGGUUGGGGAUGGACUCGCGGCUUAUCAGCUUGUUGGUGGGGUAGUGGCUUACCAAGGCUUUGACGGGUAGCCGGCCUGAGAGGGUGACCGGCCACAUUGGGACUGAGAUACGGCCCAGACUCCUACGGGAGGCAGCAGUGGGGAAUAUUGCACAAUGGGCGGAAGCCUGAUGCAGCAACGCCGCGUGCGGGAUGACGGCCUUCGGGUUGUAAACCGCUUUCGCCUGUGACGAAGCGUGAGUGACGGUAAUGGGUAAAGAAGCACCGGCUAACUACGUG
rnacentral:rRNA from 1 species